rnacentral:rRNA from 1 species
GUCCACGCUGUAAACGAUGGCAACUGGGUGUCUCGGGUAUUGACCCCCGAUGCGCCGAAGUCAACACGUUAAGUUGCCCGCCUGGGAAGUACGGCCGCAAGGCUAAAACUCAAAGGAAUUGACGGGGGCCCGCACAAGCGGUGGAGCAUGUGGUUUAAUUCGACGAAACGCGAAGAACCUUACCUGGACUCGAAAAUGCAGGAAGUUGGCUGAAAGGCUGAUGUGCUCGCAAGAGAGCCUGUAUCAGGUGCUGCAUGGCUGUCGU